UGUCCAGGGGGAUUCCUGGCAGGGUGAUUUUUUUUACGUUCAGGACUGAAUCACAUUGCCAGGGAUUUCCACUGGCUG